rnacentral:rRNA from 1 species
AUUGAACGCUGGCGGCAGGCCUAACACAUGCAAGUCGAGCGGAUGAGAGGAGCUUGCUCCUUGAUUCAGCGGCGGACGGGUGAGUAAUGCCUAGGAAUCUGCCUGGUAGUGGGGGACAACGUUUCGAAAGGAACGCUAAUACCGCAUACGUCCUACGGGAGAAAGCAGGGGACCUUCGGGCCUUGCGCUAUCAGAUGAGCCUAGGUCGGAUUAGCUAGUAGGUGGGGUAAUGGCCCACCUAGGCGAUGAUCCGUAACUGGUCUGAGAGGAUGAUCAGUCACACUGGAACUGAGACACGGUCCAGACUCCUACGGGAGGCAGCAGUGGGGAAUAUUGGACAAUGGGCGAAAGCCUGAUCCAGCCAUGCCGCGUGUGUGAAGAAGGUCUUCGGAUUGUAAAGCACUUUAAGUUGGGAGGAAGGGCAGUUAGUUAAUACCUGGCUGUUUUGACGUUACCAACAGAAUAAGCACCGGCUAACUUCGUGCCAGCCGCCGCCGUAAGAC